UGUAUCGGAAGCCUGACGAGGAUGAGAACCUCCGGGGGCAAGAGGUUCGACUCGAGCGCAGCGAGAGAACGUUGCGUCAGCAACGGCCCGCAGGGCGA
rnacentral:sRNA from 2 species